AUAAUGCAAAUAUGUAAUAAAAUCUAUAUAGUGCUAUGAUUUUCCAUCAAUAGAAAGAUGCUUCUUUUCUUAGGUUUUUGUUUUAGUGCUCGUUUUAAGUCAAGCAACUAGUACCACUACUCACUUUCUAUAGCUUAUAAACUCAAAUCAAGGCUUUGAUUGUUGUUGUGAUACGAGCUUAAAUCAAAAUCAUUGAUCCAUCCUUAUUGCUAAGUCUAGUGUGAGUAAAGUUGGUUAAGAGAGAAAAAAGAAACUAUUAUACACAACAAUCAAGUAAAUUUCUCUAACGAGGUGUUGAGGAAAUAAGAGAAAUGGAUUUUGAAAGUUUUUCCCAACAACCAAGAGAAUUGGAAAGAGUGCAAAAAGAGCAUGAUGAAAAAACUAAAAGGAUUGAAGACUUGAAGAGCCAAAUCAAUGACGCGAAGCGUGAAUUAGAGAAGAACGAGAAGGAAGAAGAUGUCAAGAAAAGGGAGAGCUUCAAGAGUCUCACUCAAAAUUACAACCAGCUGAGGCAAGAAUUUGAUAAGAUGUGAUUUACUAAGACAUGUUGAGUAAUAAAGUUAAUUAGGUUUCUAUAUUGGAAUUAAGUAGCUAAAUGCUAGUUAAUCAAGGAUCAAUUUAGAGAUGAUUGAUACUUGAUUAUUUGUGUUUGAGAUUAGAAUUGUAGUAUUUGUAGUUAGGUCUAUCAAUGCUAACAUAUUUACUCGUAUGUACUAAACUAUGCAUAUUAAUAAGUGUAGUAUGAAUUGAGUAGAAUAAGAUUAUGUGACCUUAAUUUGAGUGCAAAA